rnacentral:rRNA from 1 species
AGGGCUUAUGGUGGAUGCCUAUGGUGCCAAAUGCCGAAGAAGGACGUGGGUCACUGCGAAAAGCCUCGGGGAGCCGUGAACAGGCGCCGAUCCGGGGAUAUCCGAAUGGGGAAACCCAUCCUGUCGAACACAGGAUACCCUCCGUUGAACACAUAGACGGAGAGGAGGGAACCUGGGGAACUGAAACAUCUAAGUACCCAGAGGAAAAGAGAGAAUUCCCAAAGUAGUGGCGAGCGAAAUGGGAGCAGCCCAAACCGAGCUGGCAAGCCAGGUCGGGGUUGUAGGGUCUGACAUAUGGGAGUAAGAAAACGAACUGCUAGUGGAAUGGUGUGGGACAGCCAACCAGAGAAGGUAACAGUCCUGUACGCGAAAGCGGAUCGUCUCCCGUCGGAUACCUGAGUACUACCGGGCACGCUAAUCCGGUAGGAAGCUGGGGAGUCCACUCUCCAAGGCUAAAUACAUUUGGCAACCGAUAGUGAACAAGUACCGUGAGGGAAAGGUGAAAAGUACCCCAGUUAGGGGAGUGAAAUAGAACCUGAAACCAUAAGCCUACAAGCAGUCGAAGGGCUAAUGGCGUGUCGGUGCUCCAUCGAAAGGUGGGUGCGCGGCGCUAUGCCUGACGGCGUGCCUCUUGGAGAAUGAGCCUGCGAGUUAAUCUCAGUGGCGAGGUUAAGGCAGAGACAGCCGAAGCCGCAGCGAAAGCGAGUCUGAAUAGGGCGAGAGUCGCUGGGAUUAGACACGAAACCGGGUGAGCUACUCAUGGCCAGGGUGAAGCGGGGGUAAAAGCUCGUGGAGGCCCGAACCUACUAAUGUUGCAAAAUUAGGGGAUGAGCUGUGAGUAGAGGUGAUAUGCCAAACGAACUCGGAGAUAGCUUGUUCUCCCCGAAAUAGCUUUAGGGCUAGCGCUAUCUGUUCAGUACUGGAGGUAGAGCACUGAAUGGGCUAGGGGGCUUAGUGCUUACCGAACCCAAUCAAACUCCGAAUGCCAGUACUCCAGAGGAUAGCAGUCGGACUACGGGAGAUGAGUUUCGUGGUCAAAAGGGAAACAGCCCAGAUCAUCGGCUAAGGUCCCCAAAUCCAAGCUAAGUGGGAAACGAUGUGGGGUUACUGAAACAACCAGGAGGUUGGCUUAGAAGCAGCCACCCUUCAAAGAGUGCGUAAUAGCUCACUGGUCUAGUGAUCCUGCGCGGAAAAUGUAACGGGGCUAAGCUUGGUACCGAAGCCAUGGGAUUGUCCCUUCGGGGAUGAUCGGUAGGGGAGCGUUCUGCCAGCGGAGAAGCGGUACCGGAAGGAGCCGUGGAGCGGGCAGAAGUGAGAAUGCAGGCAUGAGUAGCGUAAAACACGUGAGAACCGUGUUCACCGUAAGUCUAAGGUUUCCGACGCCAGGUCAAUCCGCGUCGGGUUAGUCGGGGCCUAAGCCGAGGCCGAGAGGCGUAGGCGAUGGAUAGCCGGUCAACAUUCCGGCACCACUUUUGUGGAGUGAUGAGGGGACGCAGCGAGGUAGGCCAGCCCGCGAUUGGUAUGCGGGUGUAUGCGAUGUCAGACGAUGAGAGGGGUAGGAAAAUCCGCCCUUUGAGUUGAGAUCGUGUAACGAGCCCCCGAGGCAUAAGUGAGUUGAGCCUUGCUGCCGAGAAAAGCCUCUAAACGAUGAAGCGAGAGUGCCCGUACCGCAAACCGACACUGGUAGACGGGUAGAGAAUACCAAGGUGAACGGGAAAACCUUCGUUAAGGAAUUAGGCAACAUAGCCCCGUAACUUCGGGAGAAGGGGUGCCUCUUAUUGUGAAUGUAUAAUGAGCAUAAAGAGGUCGCAGUGAAAUGGCUCUAGUGACUGGUUAACAAAACCACAGGUCUCUGCAAAGCCGAAAGGCGAUGUAUAGGGGCUGACACCUGCCCAGUGCCGGAAGGUUAAAGGGAGAGGUUAGCGCAAGCGAAGCUUUGAACUGAAGCCCCGGUGAACGGCGGCCGUAACUAUAACGGUCCUAAGGUAGCGAAAUUCCUUGUCGGGUAAGUUCCGACCCGCACGAACGGCGUAACAACUAGAGCACUGUCUCAACGAAGGACCCGGCGAAAUUGAAAUGGCUGUGAAGAUGCGGCCUACCCGCAGCAGGACAAAAAGACCCCGUGGAGCUUUACUGCAAUUUGGCAUUGAGUUUGGGUAUGGUUUGUGUAGGAUAGGUGGGAGGCUAUGAAGCUGGAGCGCUAGCUUCGGUGGAGCCAACGGUGAAAUACCACCCUGACGAUACUUAGACCCUAACUUUCGACCUUAAUCAGGCGAGAGGACCGUGCCAGAUGGGCAGUUUGACUGGGGCGGUCGCCUCCUAAAAGGUAACGGAGGCGCCCAAAGGUUCCCUCAGGCUGAAUGGAAACCUGCCAAAGAGUGCAAAGGCAUAAGGGAGCUUGACUGCAAGACCAACGCGUCGAGCAGAGACGAAAGUCGGGCUUAGUGAUCCCACGGUUCUGAGUGGAAGGGCCGUGGCUUACCGGAUAAAAGCUACCCCGGGGAUAACAGGCUGGUGAAGUCCAAGAGUUCACAUCGACGACUUCGCUCGGCACCUCGAUGUCGGCUCAUCGCAUCCUGGGGCUGUACAAGGUCCCAAGGGUCGGGCUGUUCGCCCGUUAAAGCGGUACGCGAGCUGGGUUCAGACCGUCGUGAGACAGGUCGGUCUCUAUCCGCUGUGGGCGUAAGGGAUUUGAGAGGAGCUGCCCCUAGUACGAGAGGACCGGGGUGGACAGACCUCUGGUGUGCCAGUUGUCGUGCCAACGGCAUUGCUGGGUAGCUACGUCUGGCAGAGAUAACCGCUGAAAGCAUCUAAGUGGGAAACUCGCCUCAAGAUGAGAUCCCUGUAAUCCCGAAAGGGAGUAAGGACGCAGGAAGACUACCUGCUUGAUAGGCGGCGUGUGUAAGUGCAGUAAUGCACGUAGCUAAGCCGUACUAAUGUCCGAGGGCUUUCGCG